CCUACGGGAGGCAGCAGUGAGGAAUAUUGGACAAUGGGGGAAACCCUGAUCCAGCCAUGCCGCGUGAGUGAGGAAGGCCUUAGGGUUGUAAAGCUCUUUCGGCGGGGAAGAUGAUGACUGUACCCGCAGAAGAAGCCCCGGCUAACUCCGUGCCAGCAGCCGCGGUAAUACGGAGGGGGCUAGCGUUGUUCGGAAUUACUGGGCGUAAAGAGCGUGUAGGCGGCUACGCAAGUUGGAGGUGAAAUCCCCGGGCUCAACCCGGGAACUGCCUUCGAUACUACGUAGCUCGAGACCGGGAGGGGUUGGUGGAAUUCCUAGUGUAGAGGUGAAAUUCGUAGAUAUUGGGAAGAACACCAGUAGCGAAGGCGGCCAACUGGCCCGGUUCUGACGCUGAGACGCGAAAGCGUGGGGAGCAAACAGGAUUAGAUACCCCG
rnacentral:rRNA from 1 species